rfam:Schistosoma mattheei strain Denwood, Zambia genome assembly, scaffold: SMTD_contig0006225
AUUCAACUAACGAGUCCCAAAUAGGACGAAACGCGCGUCAAACUAGAU